GGAGGAGCAUUAGUUUAGUUUGAUCUAUCAUAAAAAAAGAUAAACUAGAGAGUGGAUACUGAAAUAGAUAGUUUGUGUGGUACACAAUAGUUAAAGAGAACCCUAGCCGCUCCUCUCAGAAACGAUUAUCGAGGCACACCCUACUCCACCAUCUUCUGCUAUAGAAAAUGAGUAAGGACACGUGUUAGCUCGUAAAGAGGUCGUUGGAGUGGGAAUAAAGCUAAGCAUGUGUCAGUUGGAGAGGACUCAGUUGCAGAAGUUAUUAUGCAGCAGAAGAAACAGAGCGUUAAAAGGAACAAGAAGAUAAAUUGGGGAUUCAUUCGGAAAAAAGUGUAUUGUUAUUCUCUUGAAAACUCUCUUUGUGUGUGUUCAUCUUAUUGAGCUUUUGAGUUGUUUCUUCGUGUAAACUCUUGGCUGAUAAGAGUGAUUCUUUGUACUAUACAUUGAUUCACAUUCAUAUCGAUAAACUUGGUUUUACCGUAUCAUCUUCCGGCGUCGCUGAAGCCAAAAUCUCGCAAGCUUCGGGAUUCUUUAACCAAGUUCUGUUACAUCUUUGUGUCUCUUCUCUCCUUUAAUCUUUCUUUCUGUUUUACUCUGUUUCUGUCUCAGUUGUGGAGUUACGUUUUGGCUCCAUGGGUUCACUACGGAGAAGAAGCUUCUUGGAACCAUCUCUCUUGGCGUCACUAUCCAUGUGGAUUAUCUUUCUCUCUUGUCUAACUCGCAGGUCUAUAUAGUCACCGCUUCUCUCUGCAUCUCGGGUCCCCAAAGAACCUUUCACAAGAGAGUCGUCCUUUUCAAUACUGAUGUCAACUGAGAGUUAAUCUUCAGGAUGGAGAUCUAUUACUCAGUCAUGUUCGCUAUAUGCUCAGGAAUAUCUGCCAGUCGCCGCUCCUUUUGCUCCCAACCGGCCGCACCUCGCGGAUCUCACAGCGACCAGAUCUGAAGAUAGUUUGGCAUCAAACUUGUUCACCGUCUUUCUGGAAGAUGAUUACUCUCCCUAUUGGAAAGAUCUGUUACACAUGUCUAUGGUGUGAACGAAGCUUCUCUUCAGCUGCUCCUCUCUCUUUUCUGACCGAACCUGACAAUGGUUUUGUACAAUAUUGGAAAAAUCCUCCAUUUUUGAAGUCUCCGAUGAUUCUUUCAGAUCCAGCAGUGUGUACUGCUACUUCUCUCGAAGCCCAUUCAAGAUAGCCAGUAUGUCUGGUCCUUCAAACCUUCUAUGGUGAAAAAAAGACUACAUGUUAUGGUGCUAUCCCCCUGUUUGCUCCACAGCCUCUGUUACGGUAAUGCCGAGGAUCAGAGCUGCUUAAGGAUAGUAUCUUCAGAUAGCCUGUCUGACCUCAUGGAAGUUGAUAGGCUGAUAAGCAAUUAUGAACACAUUAUUUAGCUUGGUGUUGCUACGGGGUUAUGGCCAGAGAUUAAAGUGCUCAUCAACCAACCACUUAUUGCUAUUAUAACCACAAGCUUUGACACUGCAACGAUCCACAUUCUGCAAAUACAAAAGCUUGGCUCAGUCUACCCUUUAAACUUAACCACUUUGGAGAAAUUUAUACAAGCUUCCUCUUGUCAGGGUCGAGAGAGAUCUUUAUGCACAUCCUCUCAGGAGAGAACACUUCCACCAAAAGUUUGUUUGGAAACGGUAGAUGCAGCGAGGUUCAUUUCAAUGAAGUUUGAGGUUAUGGACUUGUAUUCAAAGCCACUGAUAAGUUGGCUCAUCAAAAGUCGUCUGAAGAGAUUAAAGUGAGAUUGUUCUCCUUUCUAGUGUAAUGCUUGGCUUUUUAGGCAUGUCUUUAGAUACAUUAUCAAAUUUUGUUGGGUUUUUGUC